UGUGAUGAGUGCAGAUUAUGGGUGGAGAUGGAGAUGGUUUUGCUUGUUUAUUAAGAUCAAAUUAGGGCAAUAUAUACAUCCAAAUUCAGAUCCCAAUGGUACCCAACAAAGAGGGAAUCAACUUGACAAGGGAAGAAGCCUGGAAGGGCCAACUUUCAUUUUCACGUCAAGCAGGGUUGAUUAUCAGAGGGCUAGGAAAGAUGGAGCAGAGCGGGAGCAUAGACUACGAUGAGUUCAUCGAGGCGAGAGUGUACAUCAAGAAGUUGUAGCUCGAAGAGCACAUGAUGGCUGCCUACGCCUAUUUUUACAUGAACGACAAUGGAUACAUCACCAUAGAGAAGGUGAAAGAGGCCUGCUGAGAGUACAAUAUACGAGAUGUAGCGGGAGGAGCACCUGUUGGCUGCCUUUGCCUAUUUCGACAAGGAGCACGACGGGUACAUCACUAUAGAGAAGGUGGAAGAGGCCUGCCGAGAGUAUAACAUACAAGCCGUCUCCAUAUCGAAUUAAUUAAUUGAUUCAUUUAAUUCAAGUGAUUAGUCCUACUGUUAAGCUAAAAAUGCAAAUCUGAAAUCCAAAUUGAACAUGUCCUUUAUAUAAAGGAACGAAGGGGUAUAUUUUUAACUGAAUUUUUCAUAUUCAGUACUUUGUCUUUGUCUGCGCUACGGAUGAUAUCAAUAUUUAUAACCCAACUCACUGUUCGUGUUGUUCGUGUAAACUGGUGGAGAUAAAAAAAAGUUUGCAUCAUCUA